rnacentral:rRNA from 1 species
UACGUAGGGUGCGAGCGUUAAUCGGAAUUACUGGGCGUAAAGCGUGCGCAGGCGGUUCGGUGUGUCGGGGGUGAAAUCCCCGGGCUUAACCUGGGAACUGCGUUUGAAACUGGAAGGCUAGAGUGUGGCAGAGGGGGGUGGAAUUCCACGUGUAGCAGUGAAAUGCGUAGAUAUGUGGAGGAACACCGAUGGCGAAGGCAGCCCCCUGGGCUAACACUGACGCUCAUGCACGAAAGCGUGGGGAGCAAACAGG